rnacentral:lncRNA from 1 species
GAAAGAACUGGGGAAUAGCAGGCGAUUCUUUCCUUUCUAUAAGGCAGCUCCAUCUGCAGGGGAUGGGCGGCUCCUUGCUCAAGGGAGUGGAGCACAACCUCUCUCCAGUCCCUGGCUUCCUGUGACACUAUGCGAGCGCCAGGAGAGACAUCAGGAGUGGAAGACUUUGGGGAAGCGAACUUCACCAAUACUGUCUAGGGCAGGCUGGGCCCAAGCUCAUGGCAAUCCUCCUGCCUCAGCCUCCUGAGUGCUGGGAUUACAGGUGCACACCACCACGCAUGGCUGAUAUUCUGGAAAAGGCUAAAAUACAGAGAUGGAAAACAUAUAAGAAGUGGUGCUGGGGAUUGAACCCACACAUCCCAGGCAAGUGCUCUCUCACUGAGCUGCACCCCAGCCCUGAUUUUAAAAUUUUAAAUCUAAUAUUUUUAUUACUAAUUGCAUUAAAUGAAGCUCAAUCAUUGGUAAAACUGUCAUUGGAACAAGAACUCCUUCCAAGGCUGUUUAGUAGUGAUUGAAAUUUUGACCUUAACAUGCAAGUCAUUUGGAAAGAGGGUUUAAAAACAAUCUUGUUCCCUUCCCGGUGCGUGUUCCCUUCCCUUCCCCACUAUCUUCAGAUGUAACAUUAUUCACACCGUCCUUGGAAGGACAGCAUGCAGGGCCCUCGUUGACACAACUAGGAGCAGUGGGGGACUUGCGGCCCAGGAC